GACGAACCGUCCUAACGUUGUUCGGAAUCACUGGGCUUAAAGGGCGCGUAGGCGGAUCAUCAAGUCCGGGGUGAAAUCUUUCGGCUCAACCGGAAAAUAGCCUUGGAUACUGAUGGUCUCGAGCGAGGUAGGGGCGGGUGGAACUUCCGGUGGAGCGGUGAAAUGCGUUGAUAUCGGAAGGAACGCCGGUGGCGAAAGCGACCCGCUGGACCUCUUCUGACGCUGAGGCGCGAAAGCCAGGGGAGCAAACGGG
rnacentral:rRNA from 1 species